rnacentral:rRNA from 1 species
GCGAAAACUUUACAAUGCGGGAAACCGUGAUAAGGGAACUCCGAGUGCCCGUAAAAUCGGGCUGUCCAUCUGUUUAAAUAACAGGUGAAGAAAGGGCCGGGCAAGACCGGUGCCAGCCGCCGCGGUAAUACCGGCGGCUCGAGUGGUGGCCACUAUUACUGGGCUUAAAGCGUUCGUAGCUGGUCUGUUAAGUCUCUGGGGAAAUCUACUGGCUUAACCAAUAGGCGUCUCAGGGAUACUGGCAGACUAGGGACCGGGAGAGGUGAGAGGUACUCCAGGGGUAGGAGUGAAAUCCUGUAAUCCUUGGGGGACCACCUGUGGCGAAGGCGUCUCACCAGAACGGCUCCGACAGUGAGGGACGAAAGCUGGGGGAGCAAACCGGAUUAGAUACCCGGGUAGUCCCAGCUGUAAACGAUGCGCGUUAGGUGUAUCGGUGACCACGAGUCACCGAGGUGCCGAAGAGAAAUCGUGAAACGUGCCGCCUGGGAAGUACGGUCGCAAGGCUGAAACU